GAUGCCAUCCGGGCGCACAGUGGGUAUAGUGGUUCCGCAACCUUGGGGUGUUCGGCCGAGCGCCUGCCUAACAUGGGAGCGCCUGCCUAACCCUCCUGACUGGAGGGUCAGCGGCGGGGAGUCCUGGCCUUCAAUCGGCCAUCGCCACGGCAGAAACUGGGGCCCGGGCUGCGUCCAGGCCCUUCCCCGUCCGUCCACAGGUCUCAUGGGCGCCCCAACUGGGGCUGAUGUAGUUUCCCGACCUCUGACAUGUAGGAUCUGGAGAUUAAAGCUGCUCUGCUAAUAAUUAGGUUCCCACCUCUCAAGAUCAUUAGGAGCUUCAUUUCCAAUUCCUCUGUUUUGCAUGCAUUGGAAGGCCCCUGGAUCCUCCUGGAAUCCCCGAUCCCUGUUGCUCCCUCGGGGAGCUUUCUAGUCCCUGUUACUUGAAGCAUGUCUUUCAGAGCCCCACCACCCAGCUUGGGUAUCUGCUCCUGCUGUCUUCCUUGCUGGGGACAGGAAAGGCUCCACACUUGACUUUCCCUCCUGUUGUCUUAUCCGCUGUCAACCCCUGA
rnacentral:lncRNA from 1 species